rnacentral:rRNA from 1 species
GACGAACGCUGGCGGCGUGCUUAACACAUGCAAGUCGAACGGAAAGGCCCUUCUUUUGUGGGGUGCUCGAGUGGCGAACGGGUGAGUAACACGUGAGUACCCCGCCCUUUACUUUGGGAUAACUUCAGGAACCUGGGGCUAAUACCGGAUAGGAGCUCCUGCUGCAUGGUGGGGGUUGGAAAGUUUCGGCGGUUGGGGCUGGACUCGCGGCUUAUCAGCUUGUUGGUGGGGUAGUGGCUUACCAAGGCUUUGACGGGUAGCCGGCCUGGGAGGGUGACCGGCCACAUUGGGACUGAGAUACGGCCCAGACUCCUACGGGAGGCAGCAGUGGGGAAUAUUGCACAAUGGGCGGAAGCCUGAUGCAGCAACGCCGCGUGCGGGAUGACGGCCUUCGGGUUGUAAACCGCUUUCGCCUGUGACGAAGCGUGAGUGACGGUAAUGGGUAAAGAAGCACCGGCUAACUACGUG